CUUAUGGCGGCUCGUUGUCUAAACUCUAAAUCUAUCUUCGCUGCAGCUAUUUUCUUCGAAAGUUACAAAUGGACACAUAGGUUAAUUCGAGUGAUUUAGUUUGUAACUUGUCGGUGAUGUGGUCUAUUCCGUGUACAUGUUGGAUAACCUUAGUGUUUCUUAUAAACUUACAGGAGAAAACGUAGCCUACCGUCGACUAUUUCGUUCAAUAUGUGCCAUCGAAAUGACAAAGUUAGAAUUCAUCAUAAUAUCUGCUGUAAGAAUUGGACUUGCUAGAUCAAGAUCACCAACCCCAUCACGGACCAAUCUCUCAUUCCAUCUUGACUUCUAGAGAACCUUUGCUAAUUGUUUGGUUGUUUCAUGUGUUUGAAACUUUAGGUUUCUAAAUUUGUAUGACAGACUUUAUAAGAAAAGUCAUGUUGAAGAAAAAGGACUGUCUGCCACUGACAGUUAACAAGGUAUGCUACUUUGUUUAACUAAGUCUUGAAACCUACCCUUCACUGUUGGAGAGCACUGUGGCCUCAAGGUCUGUCAUUUCUUAUUGUUCAAGUAUUCUGAGUUAAGCAGGAACUAGUUAAGUGGAAUCUCCUACACUAUUUUUAAAGGUAGGAGAAAAAGCAAGUUGCUGUUCGAGAUGCUGUGAAUUUCCCUCACUGAUGUGUUUCUGUUUUGUCUGAAUGUCCUUUAGCUGUAGCAGAUUAGGCCGUCACAAUCAUUUGCAAUAUCUGAUUGUGCAUUAAGGUUUAUAAGUAAGUAAAGACGAGUAAAAAUUCAUCAUGGGUUUCCUUUUCUCCGAUUUUAGAUACGGAAAAUCAAAAGAUGUUUCAUCAAUCAAUCCAAACAAAGUGGAAAAAUCUAAAUCUUAAGAUUAGAUUCAAAUUCAAUCGAAUUUUAUUUAUUUUUUGUUCUAUCGCCAGGAGGGAGCGGCCAACGUGGAACAAACGGUGCCUCCUGUCGACCAAGCUACCAGUCCAACAACUGGCAGUUUUACCAAAUCUGUUUUUGGUGAACUACCAGUAUCUGAUGCGCCGUACUUAAAGUUCACCAUUUAGGAUAGAAAAUCGCUAGAUUAUUUUUGUGGUAGUCUUUUUUUAUGCAGCUUACUUUUAAACGUGGUCUUUUUCUGUGGUCACAAUGGCCAGUCCUUUUCAAAUGCAUUACCGGAUACGGAUAGUCCGGAUUCCGGAAGUAGGCCUACCUAAAAAAAGAGCUCGUCAGCUGUUGAGCCGACAUCAAAUUCGACCAUUAGAAUACUGUUUCUAAAAUAAUUGAAACUAUUCGUGAGGACAGCUCUACCACAACGUAGAUCUUUCUAGCGUGAACUGAAAUAACCUCUUCAGAAAUCAGAUUCCUACGCCAAGUGCCAAGUUUAUCGCUUUGUUUAUAUUUCCGACUGUUCGAAUUAAUAGUCGGGCCGCCGGCAUUCCGGCAAUACAGUGCACAAUCUCGCCUGACAUGUCCUCUAGUGUCACCUAGACUCGACGCAACCAAGGCCCAUACCCACCACUAACGAUGAGGAUUUACAGUUAAUUCAAUCCGGUUAUUGAAAGAGCUAGUCUUUCACCUUAAGCAUUUCGGAAUUUUUAAUCGUAUAUGACAAUUCAAAUGUCCUCAUUCGCUAGACGCUAUCCUCACAAACAGUUUCGCCAUCUGUCGGAAUUAGGAUAUGGUAAAUUAGACCACCUGCAGAAUCGAACUCGGGUCCGAUAAGUUAAUGUUAUGAUUUACAUGUGACGUCUAAUCCGACUCACCCAUCCAUUACCUUAAUGCACUUGUUAAAUUUGCCUAAA